AACGAACGCUGGCGGCAUGCCUAACACAUGCAAGUCGAACGAGACCUUCGGGUCUAGUGGCGCACGGGUGCGUAACGCGUGGGAACCUGCCCUUAGGUUCGGAAUAACUCCCUGAAAGGGGUGCUAAUACCGGAUAAUGUCUUCGGACCAAAGAUUUAUCGCCUUUGGAUGGGCCCGCGUUGGUUUAGCUUGUUGGGAGGGUAAAAGCCUAUCAAGGCGAGGAUACAUAGCUGGUCUGAGAGGAUGGUCAGCCACACUGGGAGUAGGACACGGCCCAGAAUCCUGCGGGAGGGAGGAGUGGGGAAUAUUGGACAAUGGGCGAAAGCCUGAACCAGCAAUGCCGCGUGAGUGAUGAAGGCCUUAGGGUUGUAAAGCUCUUUUACCCGGGAUGAUAAUGACAGUACCGGGAGAAUAAGCACCGGCUAACUCCGUG
rnacentral:rRNA from 1 species